UUAAAAACAAAUUAAUCUGACAUAUUAUAAAAAUUACAAAUAGUAGAUUUAAUAAAUUAGUCGUGAAAAAGUAGAAGUUAUAUUUUUUGUAAAUAGUUUGAAAAAGGAGUAAAAACUAGGGUUAGUGGCCUACUAUAACCUGAGUAAAUUUUUUAAGGUAUUAAAAGUUUUAGCUCUAAACCUAAAAAACAUGGCAGUAUUUUACCCCUUGCAGAGGAACUUGAAUAUUWAUUUAGAUACUCCCCCCUAUGUCUUACCUAAUUUUAUUUUAUGUGUGGUUGUUAAAAUAAGUAAAAAAUUAUAAAUUUUAAAUCAGAUGACAUGUAUAGAUAAUUAGGGUAAUUUUAGUUACAAUUAAAUAGAUUGAUAAUAAGAUAUCGGAUUUGCAAGUAUUAAAUUAAAAACAUAGGAAGAGGUUUUAAAAUGUGUCCAUAUUGUCCGUCGCUCUCAUAAAU
rnacentral:rRNA from 1 species